CGCGAAUUCGCCCUUCGGGGUGCACCAGGCGCGAAAACUUUACAAUGCGGGAAACCGUGAUAAGGGGACACCGAGUGCCAGCAUCAUAUGCUGGCUGUCCAGGUGUGUAAAAUACACCUGUUAGCAAGGGCCGGGCAAGACCGGUGCCAGCCGCCGCGGUAACACCGGCGGCCCGAGUGGUGAUCGUGAUUAUUGGGUCUAAAGGGUCCGUAGCCGGUUUGGUCAGUCCUCCGGGAAAUCUGACGGCUUAACCGUUAGGCUUUCGGGGGAUACUGCCAGGCUUGGAACCGGGAGAGGUAAGAGGUACUACAGGGGUAGGAGUGAAAUCUUGUAAUCCCUGUGAGACCACCUGUGGCGAAGGCGUCUUACCAGAACGGGUUCGACGGUGAGGGACGAAAGCUGGGGGCACGAACCGGAUUAGAUACCCGGGUAGUCCCAGCCGUAAACGAUGCUCGCUAGGUGUCAGGCAUGGCGCGACCGUGUCUGGUGCCGCAGGGAAGCCGUGAAGCGAGCCACCUGGGAAGUACGGCCGCAAGGCUGAAACUUAAAGGAAUUGGCGGGGGAGCAC
rnacentral:rRNA from 1 species